UUACAUGCAUACAUGUAUGUGCACUGCAUGUGGGCAUUGCCCAUGGAAGCCAGAAGAGGGUGUUGGAUACUCCGGAGCUGAAGUUACAGGCAAUUGUGAGCUGCCACGCUGCUACUGUGAACCAUAUCCAAGUCUUUGGCAAGAGCAUCCAGUGCUCUUAACUGCUGUGACAUCUCUCUAGACACGUUAUUAAAAGAAGAAGUGCUGUAGCUGCUGCAAUCUUUGCAGCUGUCUCUGGUCACGUCACCUUACCUAUCGUUUGGAAAUGCCGUCUUCCACCGCCCAUUCUGCAACCCAUUUGCCCUUGGCUGCUCUUGGUUCUUACCUGGCAGCUUUCCAUGGUUAAAGAUCGGAUCUCUCCAUGUCUACCACUUGUUGCUAUGCCUUCCUGCUAUGCUGGACUCAUCCGUCUGGACCUAUCUAGGAAAAUGAUCAGAGAAUGGAAUUGGGGACCUAUAAGUUCUCAAUGAGAUGGAUCAGACCUGACGCUCUAUGGGUUUUCUUCCCGCUGUGGUUCCAGAGUGGUCUAACCCAGAAGGAGUGAGUAUCUUCCAGCAGGUGACCCAGUACAAAAAAGUCUAAAGAAAAGCAGUGUUGGUUGCUUGCCUUCCCUUGGUCUGGAGUCCGUGUGUCUGUCUCUGCUGCGACUGUCCUCUUCUGACGUCAGACUGAAGCGUCUUCAGCCUUCUUCCAACACGAACUGCAUACUAGUGACUCUCCAGGAAUCCUCCAGACCUUCAGCACCAGACUGGGACUGCCAAGGUGAUCAACUUUGUGGACUAAACAGCAUCUCUGACUAAACUCAUCUUGUGUAAGUCAAUCUAACAAAUCCUUCUUUAUAACCCAUGUUUCUUCUAUUAGUUCUGUCUCUAAAGAACUCCAUUUAAUCCAGUUUGUAGUUCCAGUAGCAGAUUCUAGAGAAGCAGAAUCCUAAGGAUGAAUUUCUCUAGUGGACUUGAUGGUGUCUGGAGCUGGCUCUCCAGUUCAUCUACACCUAAAACUGCUAAGGACUCGACGGUACUCUGGAAGUAGGGAGAUAGCAUUGCUAUUCCAUCUUGUGAAUUAAAGAACUGUACAGCGUGCGCACAUGCACACACAUAAAUAAAUAAGUGAACGUAACUUUAAAAUGAAAAUAAGAGGAGAGAGAAUGGCCCUUCUAAGAGUGGAAGUGGACCGAGAGCUGGGAAA